GAUGAACGCUGGCGGCGUGCCUAAUACAUGCAAGUCGAGCGAACGGACGAGAAGCUUGCUUUUCUGAUGUUAGCGGCGGACGGGUGAGUAACACGUGGAUAACCUACCUAUAAGACUGGGAUAACUUCGGGAAACCGGAGCUAAUACCGGAUAAUAUUUUGCACCGCAUUGUUCAAAAGUGAAAGACGGUCUUGCUGUCACUUAUAGAUGGAUCCGCGCUGCAUUAGCUAGUUGGUAAGGUAACGGCUUACCAAGGCAACGAUGCAUAGCCGACCUGAGAGGGUGAUCGGCCACACUGGAACUGAGACACGGUCCAGACUCCUACGGGAGGCAGCAGUAGGGAAUCUUCCGCAAUGGGCGAAAGCCUGACGGAGCAACGCCGCGUGAGUGAUGAAGGUCUUCGGAUCGUAAAACUCUGUUAUUAGGGAAGAACAUAUGUGUAAGUAACUGUGCACAUCUUGACGGUACCUAAUCAGAAAGCCACGGCUAACUACGUG
rnacentral:rRNA from 1 species